UUCGGGACGCCGGCGAGUGGCGAACGGGUGAGUAACGCGUGGAUACCUGUCCCAUGGUGGGGAAUAACGUUUAGAAAUGAACGCUAAUACCGCAUAAGCCCUUCGGGGGAAAGAUUUAUUGCCAUGGGAGGGGUCUGCGUCGGAUUAGCUAGUUGGUGGGGUAAAGGCCUACCAAGGCGACGAUCCGUAGCUGGUCUGAGAGGAUGAUCAGCCACACUGGGACUGAGACACGGCCCAGACUCCUACGGGAGGCAGCAGUGGGGAAUAUUGCGCAAUGGGGGAAACCCUGACGCAGCGACGCCGCGUGGGUGAAGAAGGCCUUAGGGUUGUAAAGCCCUUUCAGUGGGAAAGAUGAUGACGGUACCCACAGAAGAAGCUCCGGCUAACUCCGUGCCAGCAGCCGCGGUAAUACGGAGGGGGCUAGCGUUGU
rnacentral:rRNA from 1 species